UCAGGUGGGUGGCUCGCAGGGGUGCGCUGGGCUGGUACUCCGGCGAGGUGGGGUCGAAGACCUCGGCACCGGGACC
rnacentral:tRNA from 1 species